GGAAACGGUCGUUGCCGGAGGGUCGCAAGCGUCAUGCUGCUCGUUUGACUUCCUUCGGAGUGAGGCAAUGGCAACAAACGUCGACAUGAAGGGAAUGAGACGGGGGUUCUGCUCGGAUUUCUCGUGUACAGAGCUCUACCGGGACCCUCUGCACGGUGGAACGCACCACCCUGAGUGAUGAGUCUACUGCGGCCACUCGCACACGGCCCACAAUGAACUCGGUGGAUGCACAGCUUCGGUUCCAUAACACGAUCGUCACCAUGCUGAAGAAACUGGAGGAG
rnacentral:lncRNA from 1 species